rnacentral:rRNA from 1 species
UACGAAGGGGGCGAGCGUUGUUCGGAUUUACUGGGCGUAAAGGGCGCGCAGGCGGUCUUGAAAGUCAGGCGUGAAAGCCCCGGGCUCAACCUGGGAACCGCGCUUGAGACUGGCACGCUAGAGUUCGGGAGAGGAUGGUGGAAUUCCCAGUGUAGAGGUGAAAUUCGUAGAUAUUGGGAAGAACACCGAUGGCGAAGGCAGCCAUCUGGACCGACACUGACGCUGAGGCGCGAAAGCGUGGGGAGCAAACAGG